rnacentral:rRNA from 1 species
CAGUAGCCGCGGUAAUACGUAGGUGGCAAGCGUUGUCCGGAAUUAUUGGGCGUAAAGGGCUCGCAGGCGGUUUCUUAAGUCUGAUGUGAGAGCCCCCGGCUCAACCGGGGAGGGUCAUUGGAAACUGGGAAACUUGAGUGCAGAAGAGGAGAGUGGAAUUCCACGUGUAGCGGUGAAAUGCGUAGAGAUGUGGAGGAACACCAGUGGCGAAGGCGACUCUCUGGUCUGUAACUGACGCUGAGGAGCGAAAGCGUGGGGAGCGAACAGGAUUAGAUACCCCGGUAGUCCCUGUCUCUUAUAC